GACGAACGCUGGCGGCGUGCCUAAUACAUGCAAGCCGAGCGGACAGAAGGGAGCUUGCUCCCGGAAGUUAGCGGCGGACGGGUGAGUAACACGUGGGCAACCUACCCCGUAGAUCGGGAUAACAUCGAGAAAUCGGUGCUAAUACCGGAUAAUCAUUUGAAGUGCAUUCUUCGAAUGUAAAAGAUUGCUCCGGCUAUCACUACGGGAUGGGCCCGUGGCUCAUUGGCUGGUUGGUAAGGUAAUGGCUUACCAAGGCAACGAUGAGUAGCCGACCUGAGAGGGUGAUCGGCCACACUGGGACUGAGACACGACCCAGACUUCUACGGGAGGCAGCAGUAGGGAAUCUUCCGCAAUGGACGAAAGUCUGACGGAGCAACGCCGCGUGAGUGAUGAAGGUUUUCGGAUCGUAAAGCUCUGUUGUUAGGGAAGAACAAGUGCCGUUUGAAUAAGGCGGCACCUUGACGGUACCUAACCAGAAAGCCACGGCUAACUACGUGCCAGCCGCCGCAGUAAAAC
rnacentral:rRNA from 1 species